UCACGAUGAAACAUUUGAAUGAGCCUCAAUAGAUCGUAGAUACUAGACCGAAUUUGUUUUGCUGAAUACUUUGAGAAUCACCAAAUGGUGAUGGUUAUGGUCUUGCUUAAUAACAAAUUUGAAAAUACGUUUAAUAUGAAAAAUAUUUUUCGGAAAAAAUAUGGAAAUAUUCUUUAUACAUAAAAAUUUAAUCUUCGUAUACUUGUGCUCGCAAAACUCGAAAAGAAGUCGGUCGAUUGACU